AGGAUACUUAUUUACCUAUAGCUAGAGGUUGGAUAGAUAGAUGGAUGCUUUAUUGAUCCCCAAAGGGAAAUUCAAGAAUGAAUGUUGAAUGUUGAGAGGAGGUAUGAUAAGGUAUGAUAAAGUUAAUUUCAUAAAAUUCAUUUAGUAAAUUUUAAUAUUACACUUUUGAUAAAGUUACAGUGCUAAAGGAUAUUAAAAUGCAUGGAGACAAUUAACUGGAAGUAUGUUUUGGUGGUGAGGAAUGGCAUAACAUAUUAGACCAUUCACUGUGGAAUGCAGCAUAUGGACAGUAAGAGCUUCAAAGUUAUAGAAUUCUAUAAGAUAAUUACUCUAGUAAUGUUUAGAGAAACUGGGUAAGCUGACUAAUGGUAAAGGGAAUGCCAUGGUCAACCAAGUAAGUAUGGAAAUUUGAUAUUCACCUAUAAGGUAAUAAGUAGUGUUACAGAAACCCCAGGCUAAAGUAAAAGGGAUCAGUUGGUAAACAGUACAAUGAAAAAGUGUUGCAGAAAAGUGGUUGAGAGAAUGAGGAAAUAUACAGAUUUAUGGCCUAUACAAGAAUUAAUGGAUUUAGCACUGUAACAAAGGUCAGGGAUUACAUGAAAAUUGACAAUAGUAGAGCUAUAAGAAGAAUAGGUCAGCCAUAGUGGAAAUAGUAGGAGAAAGAGGUAUUUAAAAUGCUCAAAAACAUCUUGACAUUUUGAUAGAUUAAUACAAUAGGAGAUAAGAGGCAGAAGUAAGGAGAUGACUUGGGAGUGAGUGACCAUAACUGUAGGAAUAAUAAUAGAUGCAGAUGUUAUAGGAAGAAAUAAGGGAUACAAUGUACAGUUAAUGGUAAAUUACAAAAGGGCAAGAUAAAGUAGAUGAUAGAUCAAGAGUAAUCUAGUAAAUACUACAAUCUGCCUGCAGCAUGAUUUCCUCAUCCCCUCCAGCUAAACAGUAAAUGUAAUGCUGCCUCUUAUAUCUAAGGGGGGAAAGGCUCAUUACCAGACGUGUGAGGACAUGCUGAUGUGCAGGGGUUAAUCCAAGUACUCCCUGUCCUGACUGAGUUCUGAGCAAGUUCAGCACAACAGUGCUAAGCGACAAACUGAAAAGAGACUCUGAGGCCUUUGUUAAGGCAACAGUGGCAAGCUGGAGAGCAAAAGAGGGAACUUGGAAGUGCAAUGGAAGCGCUUGCAGCAUCAAAAAGACAAUACAGGCACCUAUGGUGACCUAAGGCUUCAAGCCUAGGGAAACCAGUAGCAGCACCAUCCUCAACACUAUGGCAGUAGGAGGAACCAUCACAGGUGUUCCCAAACCUGUCAGUCUACUGGCCUAUGGAUAACUAUUAUAGUGGGCACAGUCAAGCCCAUGGCAGCCACAAUCUCCACGUCAGUGGGGAUGGAGACUCAGACAAGAUGGGAAUAACUAAGGCAGAGUGAGAGGAAAUUACAGAGGAGGCAUCAUGUGAGAAUGGACAUCUGAAGCAAGACAAUCAUCAGUUUGUUUUGACUGUCAAAGAAGUGGACAAAAGAAACAGGACAGGGAGAGGGAGGAGACAUCCAGGCACUGAAGGAUGACCCCAACGAGCAUGCCUUCCUUUUCCCUUGUGAAAUAGCAUAGUUUUAAGGAGGCCUAAAGAAUUCUACAAGAGAAGGGGGAUACCAAUACUAUCAAAGGGAGUUGAUGAGGAAACCAUGCUGAGGGACUCUCUUAUGGGUGAGCCCACCUGAUACGCAAUGAUGCCCUGACUAGGUACAGAGAAGGUAGUUAAGACAUCUCUGGAAAUAGAAAAGCUGGUGGAAAGAUGUUGGUCUUCAUGGAAGGAAUGGAGGUCCACCAACUCUAUUCUGUUAAUCACUGUAACAAAGGGGGGCGAACCCCUGGUAGAAUGUUAAAUUGUAUGAUUUGUUACAUUUGUUACCUUGGGUUACAGAUUUUUUAUAAUUUUUCACUGUCAUUAUUUGAUUAAUGUUUUAGUUGAACGUCCCUUUGGAAAAAAAAAAAAAAAAGAGUCUGCUGAAUACUGUAACUUUAAUGGUUAGUGGCAUUUAUAUGAUACUAACCAGAUACUUUCCCAACAGAUACUUGAUAUGGUGCUUUCCUUUGCGCAUAGUUGGGAUCUAUGCGCAAGGGGGGAGUAGGAAAGAGGAAUAUUUUUAUUGAAGGAUUUUCAUAGUUACAGGAAGUUAUUGAUGAUAGUCUAACAGAUGUCAUGUGUAUAGUCAUAAUAUCAGGAAAGUGAUAGUGUUGUCUAAACCAUUAGGUCCCAGAAGGAUCAU